GUUAAAAAGCUCGUAGUUGGAUUUGAGUCUAGUUGCGGCCGGGCUCAGGGCUUUGACUCUGGGGCGGGCGUGUAGACUGUAUGCGCGCGGGGAGGGGCAGGGAAUUUUCUCUGCUUUCUCGUGUGCUUUACUUUGAACAAAUUAGAGUGUUUAAAGCAGGCAUUUUUUGCCUUGAAUACAUUAGCAUGGAAUAACGAUUUUGACUGGAGCAGGCAUGAUGUUGUCCUGAUGACUGCGCAGUAAUGAUGGAUAGGGACGGUCGGGGACAUUCGUAUUGCUCCGUCAGAGGUGAAAUUCUUAGAUUGGAGGAAGACGAGCUGAUGCGAAAGCCUUUGUCAAGGACGUUUUCAUUGAUCAAGAACGAAAGUUAGGGGAUCGAAGACGAUCAGAUACCGUCGUAGUCUUAACCAUAAACGAUGCCGACCAGGGAUUGGGGAAGGCAGUAGACUUUCUCACGACUUCCCCAGCACCUUAUGAGAAAUCUGAGUGUUUGGGUUCCGGGGGGAGUAUGGUCGCAAGGCUGAAACUUAAAGGAAUUGACGGAAGGGCACCACCAGGAGUGGAGCCUGCGGCUUAAUUUGACUCAACACGGGGAAACUUACCAGGCCCAGACAUAGCGAGGAUUGACAGAUUGAGAGCUCUUUCUUGAUUCUAUGGAUGGUGGUGCAUGGCCGUUCUUAGUUCGUGGAGUGAUUUGUCUGCUUAAUUGCGAUAACGAACGAGACCUUGGGGGGUUGCUGCGCGAGGGCGCUACUUGUUAGCGGCCCGUGCUCCUACUCCUACUGCUGCGUGUUGUAACCAGAGGAAGUUUGAGGCUAUAACAGGUCUGUGAUGCCCUUAGAUGUCCUGGGCCGCACGCGCGCUACACUGGAGCAGGCAGCGAGUGGGGGCUGCCGCCGCA
rnacentral:rRNA from 1 species